AGUAGUUCAAUUGGUAGAGCACCGGUCUCCAAAACCGGGGGUUGGGGGUUCGAGUCCCUCCUGG
rnacentral:tRNA from 1 species